AUGAAGAUAUCACUGAUUCUACUGCUGCUCACCCUGGGGCUCCUUGUUCAGGGUUCAUCAGGAGACAUCAUCCUGACUCAGUCUCCUGGAUCUCAGUCUGUUGUUUCAGGAGAGACUGUCUCUAUCACAUGUAAAGCCAGUUCAGAUAUAGGCAGCUCUCUUCACUGGUAUCUUCAAAAAUCUGGACAACCUCCUAAACUCUUGAUUUAUUCUUCUACAAAUCGUCAGUCUGGAGUUGCAGGUCGUUUCAGUGGGAGUGGAUCUGGAACUGACUUCACUCUGACCAUCAGUGGAGUUCAGACUGAAGAUGCAGGAGAUUAUUACUGUUCACAGAGUGGUCACAGCUUCCCGUUCACACAGUGA